rnacentral:rRNA from 1 species
UGAGGAAUAUUGGACAAUGGGCGAAAGCCUGAUCCAGCCAUGCCGCGUGAGUGACGAAGGCCUUAGGGUUGUAAAACUCUUUCAGUGGCGAAGAUAAUGACGGUAACCACAGAAGAAGCCCCGGCUAACUUCGUGCCAGCAGCCGCGGUAAUACGAAGGGGGCUAGCGUUGUUCGGAAUCACUGGGCGUAAAGCGCGUGUAGGCGGAUAUGCAAGCUAGAGGUGAAAGCCCGGGGCUCAACCCCGGAAUUGCCUUUGGAACUGCAUAUCUGGAGUCUUGGAGGGGAGUGCGGAAUUCCUAAUGUAGAGGUGAAAUUCGUAGAGAUUAGGAGGAACACCAGUGGCGAAGGCGGCACUCUGGACAAGCACUGACGCUAAGACGCGAAAGCAUGGGGAGCAAACA